GGAGCUUGCUCCCUGAUGUUAGCGGCGGACGGGUGAGUAACACGUGGGUAACCUGCCUGUAAGACUGGGAUAACUCCGGGAAACCGGGGCUAAUACCGGAUGGUUGUUUGAACCGCAUGGUUCAGACAUAAAAGGUGGCUUCGGCUACCACUUACAGAUGGACCCGCGGCGCAUUAGCUAGUUGGUGAGGUAACGGCUCACCAAGGCGACGAUGCGUAGCCGACCUGAGAGGGUGAUCGGCCACACUGGGACUGAGACACGGCCCAGACUCCUACGGGAGGCAGCAGUAGGGAAUCUUCCGCAAUGGACGAAAGUCUGACGGAGCAACGCCGCGUGAGUGAUGAAGGUUUUCGGAUCGUAAAGCUCUGUUGUUAGGGAAGAACAAGUGCCGUUCAAAUAGGGCGGCACCUUGACGG
rnacentral:rRNA from 1 species